CAGAUCAGAUAAUCUGUCUAUAUCUAAGUUCAUCUUACUAUGCUCCUAAGGACCUAGUUCAUUUCAUGAGUCAGUUUUGGUUUUUUUGUUUUUUUAAAGACUUUAGUUUCUGCAAUGUAAACUUACCCUUAUUAUGGUUCUUAUCCUUUUCCUUGAGAUUUUAAAGGAGCCAGAGAGAAGAAAAGAAAAUCUCUGUAGUUUAUUUUUGUUGUGUUUCUCUCAAAUCUCCUUACAUGUUUAUGUUAGAUGCUGCUGUGAGUUUCGUGUUAUCCACAGAAUCUUAAAAGGGAUUAUUAGCAUAGCUGUGGCUUUCUCCCUUUAAAAUAAACCCCGGCUCAGCUGGAACUUGUAUUUCUCAGGGGACAUCUCUUUCCAGAUACACAUAAUACUAAAUAUUUUAAUCAAGUAUGUGAUCAAAAAUAUUUUCCAUUUUAAUUCUUUUAUUUAUUCAAUGGAUUCAUGCUGCUCAUUCUUUUUUUUUUUAGGCAAGAAUUAAUUUGGAAUAAAGGCUCAACUUUUACAUUCCAAAAUAUGGGAAAAUAACUUUAUUUCUGGGACAUAUAAAGUGUCGGUGUAAUUGUACAUUGCUGUCAGUGAUCUUGUAUGGUUCAAGAAUAGGUUCUAAAUUACAUAUCUUAAUGUUAAGUUAAAUUAUUUGUUCUUGGAUGUGUUGUGUCACCACUAAGGAGUUUAGGAGGUGUCUUGAGCAGGAUCCUCAUGCUAUUCCAGCUUUCUAUCUUGUAGCCUGUGGUAGUCUGAAUGUAAUUGGCCUCUAUAAUCUCAUAGGGAAUGGCACUAUGAGCAGGUGUGGUCUUGUUGGAGUGUGCAUGGCCUUGUUGGAUUAAGUGUGUCACUGUAGGGGCGGACUUUGAGGUUUCCGAUGCUCAGGAUACCGAUGCCCAGUGUCUCAGUUGACUUCCUGUUGCCUUCAAGACGUAGGACUCUCAUCUUUUAUAGCACAACGUUUGCCAGCAUGCAGCAUGCCCUGCCCCCACCAUGAUGACAAUGGACCGAACCUCUGAACCGCUGAUGCCCCCUUGUUGCCGUUUAUUCCUGCCUUGUACCGGCCUCACUCGUUGGUUUUCUACGGUUGGCAAUGACAUCUGUCAGCGCUUAAAAAACAAUGAGGUCCACAAAAAUCCGACUAAGACCAUGACAAACGCCACCAUCCCAUUGGCGAGCAAUUUUAAAAUGGAUCUCUGUUUGUUCCUGGUAAAAGUGGAUCCACCCUCAGAUGGACCUGGAACAAUCUGACGCUGUCUAUCUGGGUCCCCAUGCUGCCCUCCAAUCCCUUUAAAGUCAUCAAGAGUAGAGACACUAAAUCCUCCUACACCCACAGUGUCAGUUGGAGACACUCAGAUUGAUCCCAUCUCCCUUUCCUUGGUGAUUCUGGGCUCUCAGCUCUCCAGGAGCAAGCGUUAGAUAGCUACAGAGAAAUUAUCAGGCUUGGAGGCCGCCGAGGGAGGGCCCCUCCACAGCAUCUUUCUCACUGGAAAUUUCCAAUACCAGAGACUGCUCUGAGAACCCCUGAUGAGAAUGCCGACCUCAUCCUGCGGGAAGAGCUAUAUGGAUGGCAACUGUGCACCAUCCUCCACCUACCUGUUGAAACAAAAGUCAGGAAAACUAGCCAUGACUGCGCCAUUUUGAAAAGUUUUCCCAUUCGGCGUUAAGAAGUGACAAUUUUCUGAAAUCACAGUAAUUAGCAGCAUUCCAGAAAUAAAGCCUAGAUUCCUGCCACAUCUUACCACUGCAAAAGCCUGAUGCAGGGCUGCCGGUCCCUCAUCUGACA